UCUGGGCAAAAAGAAUAAAGGCCAUAGCUCUCAGAAAAACAACUGUGCCCUCUCAAAAUCUAUUCUUUGCAAUUAAGAAAUGAAUGAUAUAAACCCUUUGACAUUCAGGAACCAUAAGAACAGGGAAUUCCAGAUGCUUCUGUGACGCUUCCAGCUCUUGAUUCUCAUAUGUGUAAGUCUCAGAUCAAGUCUAUCUCUUCAGCGAUACCACUCCAACCCUUCCAAGGGCUCUCUGAACUUUUCAAAAUACCACUUAUUUCUUCAUUUUUUUCAUACAAAGACAGAAGGCCAGGUUCCUUCUUCACAUCUCUGAUCUCCUCAUCCUGUUUGUUCUCACUCCCAAAUGGCUGUUUACUCUGAAUUAGUGGCAAAUUAGCAAACCAGAGAGGUAAUGAGGUAAUAUGUGAGAGUCAGUUCCUGUCAGGACAAUAAUUGUUACAUCACAGAAGAAGCUAGGGCUCUCCUAGUUACAACAGAUUUUUCAUGGAGGUCCUAUUUAUGAUGUCACUGAGAACUGCCAUCUCCUACCUGCUAAACAGCUUUCCUUACAUUUACCAGAUUCGAGGGUGUCCUUUCCAGGUAUGUCUCCUGUGACACAGUGGAAAGCUUUACGUACUCCAUCUCUCUUAAGCUAGAGACUUAUGUCUGCUUCACUAGUGGUUACAUGCUCUGAAUGGAGAAGGAAUAAAGAAAAGGACUGUUUACUGCACGAUCUCUUGAUAUCACGGAACAAUUCUUCCAACACUACAAAGUGAAAUCUCAUAAAGAAAUGGGUACCCGAAGCCACAGUUUCUUACCUUCUAUUUGGUUGUGCACACUGUGACCACCAUUUCAUUUUAACCAGGUUUAACGCAAAGCUUCUUUGAAGAUGUUCCCAUUUCCACCAACUCACUUCAACCUCAAUGCCCUGGCAUUACCCUACACUGGGGAAACAAGUCUUCACUGGAUUAAAGGAUUUUAAUUCCAAUCAUGCUGGACAGUGCAUUUCUCUGCCACACAUGUGGCUGGAAUCAUUGGUUCCUCAAACUGUACUCACUAGUGGGUUGUUUAAUCCCCCUAAUUUCUGGUGUGGUCUUGUUGGUUGAUAUUGUUGUUCUUCCUGGGGUUUUGCAAAUCCCUUCAGCUCAUUAAGUAUUUUCUCUAAAACUUCCAUUGAAACCCCCAUGUAUAAUCCAAUGGUUAGCUGCAACCAUCCUCAUUUAUAUCAGUAGGGAUCUGUCAGAGCCUCUCAGGAGACAUCCAUAUCUGAUUUCUAUCAGCAAGGAUUUGUUGGCAUCAGCAAUGAAGUCUGAAUUGGGUGGCGGCAUAGUGGAUGGAUCCCCACGUGGGGCAGUCUCUGGUUGACCCUUUGUUCAGUCCCUGCUUGACUCUUUAUCAUUGUAUUUCCUCCCAUGAAUAUUUUGUUCCUUCUUCUUAGAAACAAUGUAGCAUCCACAUUUUGGUCUUCUUUUAGCUUGGGAUUCAUAUGA